ACAGCAGCCGCCGCGGUAAUACAGAGGGUGCAAGCGUUAAUCGGAAUUACUGGGCGUAAAGCGCGCGUAGGUGGUUCGCCAAGUUGGAUGUGAAAUCCCCGGGCUCAACCUGGGAACUGCAUCCAAAACUGGCGAGCUAGAGUAUGGUAGAGGGUGGUGGAAUUUCCUGUGUAGCGGUGAAAUGCGUAGAUAUAGGAAGGAACAUCAGUGGCGAAGGCGACCACCUGGACUGAUACUGACACUGAGGUGCGAAAGCGUGGGGAGCAAACAGGAUUAGAUACCCGUGUAGUCCCUGUCUCUUAUAU
rnacentral:rRNA from 1 species